rnacentral:rRNA from 1 species
AACGAACGCUGGCGGCACGUUUUAAGCAUGCAAGUCGAAUGGCAGUGGGGGCAACCCCAUGAGAAUGGCGAACGGGUGAGUAACACGUAGGUGAUCUGCCUGACGGAUGGGGAUAGCUUGUGGAAACACAGGGUAAUACUGAAGGAGCUGAUGAUGCUUUGGUUUUGUUAGUAAAGGUGCUACGGCACCGCCGACGGAGGAGCCUGCGGCGGAUUAGCUAGUUGGUGGGGUAAAGGCCUACCAAGGCGACGAUCAGUAGCCGGCCUGAGAGGGUGUACGGCCACACUGGAACUGAGACACGGUCCAGACUCCUACGGGAGGAAGCAGCUAAGAAUCUUCCGCAAUGGGCGAAAGCCUGACGGAGCGAUGCCGCGUGAUCGAUGAAGGUCGAGAGAUUGUAAAGAUCUUUUCUACAUGAGGAAUAAGUCUGGGAGGGAAUGCCUGGAUGAUGACGUUAGUGUAGGAAUAAGCCCCGGCUAAUUACGUGCCAGCCGCCGCGGUAA